GUGGGGAAUAUUCCGCAAUGGACGAAAGUCUGACGGAGCAACGCCGCGUGAGUGAUGAAGGUUUUCGGACUGUAAAGCUCUGUUGUUUAGGACGAAAGUGCCUGUUGCAAAUAGUUACAGGUAUUGACGGUACUGAACGAGGAAGCCACGGCUAACUACGUUCCAGCAGCCGCGGUAAUACGUAGGUGGCAAGCGUUGUCCGGAAUUAUUGGGCGUAAAGAGCAUGUAGGCGGGAAUCUAAGUCUGUUGUGAAAAUGCGGGGCUCAACCCCGUAUGGAGAUGGAAACUGGGUUUCUUGAGUGCAGGAGAGGAAAGGGGAAUUCCCAGUGUAGCGGUGAAAUGCGUAGAUAUUGGGAGGAACACCAGUGGCGAAGGCGCCUUUCUGGACUGUGUCUGACGCUGAGAUGCGAAAGCCAGGGUAGCGAACGGGAUUAGAUACCCGGGUAGUCC
rnacentral:rRNA from 1 species